ensembl:misc_RNA Metazoa_SRP Metazoan signal recognition particle RNA
GCUAGGCAUGUUAGCACACGCCUGUGGUCCUCACUUCCAGGGAGGCAAGACUGGAGGUUCUCUUGUGCUCAGGAAUUCUGAGCUGCCCUGGGCCAUGCUGAUUGAGUGUCCCCUCUGAGUUUGGCAUUAAUUUGGUGAGUCCCUGGGAUUAGGGGGCCAUCAGAUUGUCUGAGUAAGGAGUGAGCUGGCCCUGGUUGGAAAAUAAUUGGGUCAGAGCUCCUGUGCCUAUCAGUAGUAAGAUUGGGCCUGUGAGUCUCCUUUGCACUUCCAACCUGGGCAAGAUAGGGAGACCUAGUAUUUU